rnacentral:misc_RNA from 1 species
GACUGCUGAACAUCGGUUUGCUGACUACAUACCCCGUCAUAUAUCCGACAUGGAGAAGAUUGUUGACCAAACAUACGAUAGAACGAGAGUGUACGUGUUCCUGGGUGAGCACAUAGCGCUGGUGGACUUCGUGAAUGUGUUGCAGCGGCGCGGACUCCUCGACAAAGGAGAGUAUGCUGUGGUGGCUGUUGAUGAUGAGAUAUACGACCCCAACACGGCAGCAAUUACACAUGCUGAUCACCUGGGAUUGAAUAACAGCAACGAUAUCCUGGCGUUCAGAGCUGUUUUACGGCUGACACCUUCGUUCCCAACCAACCCUCAAUAUGCGGUUUUAUGCCAAAUGAUCCGGGAGCUUUCUGCCACGCCGCCUUUCUGCGUGCCGAACUACCAUAAAAUAUUUGAGGACGCGUCGGUACCAAUAGAAGCAGCGCAUUUAUACGACGCUGUUAUUCUGUGGGCUCGUGCGGCCACGGCUGCUAUGCGGGCCGGACUGCCGCCUACUGAUGGCGCCACACUUAUAAAGCUACUAAGACCAACCACUUACAGAUCUGUGCAGGGAUUUGACGUCAAUAUGGACACCGCUGGAGACGCCGAGGGUAACUUCACCGUCAUAGGUUUAGUGACGGACUCUCACACACCUAGUGGAUGGAGCGCCGCGCCAGUCGCCACGUUCAGAUAUCUUAAUUCCACUGAUUUGCUACCAGAAUUAAUUGGCGCCAACACUAUAUCCUGGAUAGGAGGGAAACCUCCAGCCGCCGAGCCUGCGUGCGGUUUCGACGGGGUAAAGUGUUCCUUACCACAUGAUCCUGGAGUACUGUCCGCCAUUUGCGCAGUUACCGCUGCGGCCAUACUCGCUGUGGCUCUUCUGGUCCGGCACUAUAGAUACGAGCAAAAACUGGCGUCAGUAUUAUGGAGGAUCGAGGCUAAAGAUUUGACAUUCAUAACAGCGUUGAACGGAAUCAACUGUGAUAAGAUUGGUUUACCACAAGAAAUGGAGACGCGUCGGGCACACACCACAAUAGCUUUGUACAAGGGCAGCAUCGUCGCAAUCAAAAGCUUGCAAAAGAAGAGUAUUGAUAUCACAAGAAACAUCAAAAAGGAGUUGAAACAGAUUCGGGAGCUUCGUCAUGAGAAUCUAGUGGCUUUCGUGGGCGUGUGCGUGGAGGCUGGCUCCGCGUGUAUCGUAUCGGCUUACUGCUCUCGAGGAUCGCUGGCUAGGGUGUUGGCAGACCGUGAUCUGCACUUGGAUGAUAUGUUCGUGGCAAGCCUCGUGGCCGACUUGCUCCGAGGCUUGAUUUACUUACACGAUUCCACGUUGGUCUCGCAUGGGAAUCUGACGUCUAGCAACUGUCUGGUGGAUAGUCGCUGGGUCCUGCAGAUCGCUGAUUACGGAUUACAUACAUUAAAAAAUGGAUGCACCGACGCAGAAGAUGCUCUUCGCAUGGAAAGACGUAUGCUGUGGCGAGCCCCCGAAUUACUCCGCGACCCUAACCCACCUACAAGAGGUUCCCAGAAAGGCGAUAUGUAUUCCUUCGGGAUUAUAUUGUACGAAAUAUUGGGAAGGAAUGGACCGUGGGGCGAUACGAAUUUGACUAACGCUGAGAUCAUCGGCCGCGUCCGCCAUCCGAUAGGCGGUGUUCUGUUCAGACCGCCAUUGACUAAUGUGAAAGCGCAUCCCGCUGUGCUCGAAGUGCUGAAGUUAUGUCUCAGCGAGAGACCUGAACGUAGACCUGACGUGAGAAUCGCCAAGCUGAGACUAAAGCAGAUGCACGCUGGAAUGAAAACUAACAUAUUCGACAACAUGUUAGCGAUGAUGGAAAAAUACGCAAUGAAUCUUGAGGUACUUGUAGCCGCCAAGACAGAACAACUUAUGCAGGAGAAGAGAAGGACUGAUGAACUGCUAAAUAGAAUGCUUCCAAGGACUGUCGCUGAAGCCCUCAAAAGAGGAGAAAGGUUCCAAGCAGAAAGUUAUGACUGCGUCACAAUUUAUUUUAGUGAUAUAGUUGGCUUCACUAAGCUUGCUGCCACAAACACACCAAUGCAGAUAGUGGAAAUCUUGAACGACUUGUACACCUGUUGUGACGCUAUAAUAUCGUACUACAACGUUUAUAAGGUGGAAACAAUUGGCGACGCGUAUAUGGUUGUGGGCGGACUGCCAGAACGAUGUGCGAGGCAUGCAGCUGAGGUGGCCUCGUUAGCCUUGCACGUGCUUGACUCGGUGCCCAAGAUACCGAUGCGGCACAUGCCUGCUUCACGACUCCAUAUCAGGAUAGGUAUCCACAGCGGGCAAUGCGCGGCUGGUGUGGUGGGUGUCAAGAUGCCCCGAUACUGCCUGUUCGGAGACACCGUAAACACUGCAGCUAGGAUGGAAUCUAGCGGGGAACCGCAGAAGAUUCACGUCAGCAACGACACAUACCUGCUGUUGAAGAAACAUGGCGGAUAUCACUUUAGAGAGAGGGGCAUUGUUAAUAUAAAAGGCAAAGGUGAAAUGAAAACAUGGUGGUUAGUUGGAGAGGAUCACGAAAGAAGACGAAAUUCAUUUUCCAGAUAUCAGCCGGGAUUAGACAGCAUCGAACUUGAAAACGAGCCCUGGCGCCCUCCGGAACGUUCCAUCCUCAACAUUCGAGACAGGGCGCGGCUGUCCUGUGGCUCAGUAAGUUUUGGAUCAGCACUCUCGUCUCCCGGACCUCCGGCUUGCGCGUGCUUCGUACCUCCAAGGGACCAUCACUCGGCCCCAGUAGUAUCCUUCUGCGAGGAAUGAUAUUAACCCCUCACAGACAGCUACAAUUCACUAUUUUGGGUGAAAAAUGAUACCGAAAUACAAGAGGAAUUAAAAAGACGGGCUUACCCGAAUAGUAGAAAAUGCUAACAAACUUACCAACGGAAUUGUACACUUAUAUAUCAACGACCUUAAACUAUGUUAUAUUUAUAAAUUAUAAAAUAAUGUCCGUCUAUUUGUAAGAUUUAAAUUGAUGUAUAUGUAUUUUAUAUAAUAUUUAUCUGUAAAAUUAUUGUUGUUAAAUGUUCUAAAGAUGGACAAUUUACAAAACUUAUAUCUUUGAUGUUUAUGAGUGGAUCAAAAAAUUGCUGUUGACUGUCUAUGAAAUAAAGUUUUUGUACAUAAAAC